rnacentral:rRNA from 1 species
GACGAACGCUGGCGGCGUGCUUAACACAUGCAAGUCGAACGGAAAGGCCCUGCUUUUGUGGGGUGCUCGAGUGGCGAACGGGUGAGUAACACGUGAGUAACCUGCCCUUGACUUUGGGAUAACUUCAGGAAACUGGGGCUAAUCCCGGAUCGGAGCCCCCCCUGCAUGGUGGGGGUUGGAAAGUUUCGGCGGUUGGGGAUGGACUCGCGGCUUAUCAGCUUGUUGGUGGGGUAGUGGCUUACCAAGGCUUUGACGGGUAGCCGGCCUGAGAGGGUGGCCGGCGUCAUGGGGACUGAGAUACGGCCCAGAGUCGUACGGGAGGCAGCAGUGGGGAAUAUUGCACAAUGGGAGGAAGUCUGAGGCAGCAACGCCGCGGUCGGGAUGACGGCCUGCUGGGUGUAAACCGCUUUCGCCUGUGACGAAGCGUGAGUGACGGUAAUGGGUAAAGAAGCACCGGCUAACUACGUG